GCUGAACUUACAACAAAGCUUGUGAACCCAGUUCAGCCCAUUGGAGGUUCAGAGCAGCAGAGUCUAGGGAGCGCUGAGCUCUGCUUUCCAGACUUGAUUGUCUUCAAAUUUGUGCAUCACAACAGGUCCUUGAGAUGUACCAGUGGAUGGAGAAGUUGAUGCAGUAAGAAUUUGAAAGGU